rnacentral:tRNA from 1 species
GGUUUUAUAUUUUAAAUUAAAAUAUUAAAUUGCAAAUUUAAUGAUAUGUAAGUGCGUUAAAACUU